rnacentral:rRNA from 1 species
UGGGGAAUUUUGGACAAUGGGCGAAAGCCUGAUCCAGCCAUGCCGCGUGAGUGAAGAAGGCCCUCGGGUUGUAAAGCUCUUUUAGUCGGAAAGAAAGAGUUGCAAUGAAUAAUUGUGAUUUAUGACGGUACCGACAGAAAAAGCACCGGCUAACUACGUGCCAGCAGCCGCGGUAAUACGUAGGGUGCGAGCGUUAAUCGGAAUUACUGGGCGUAAAGGGUGCGCAGGCGGUCUUGCAAGUCAGAUGUGAAAGCCCCGGGCUUAACCUGGGAAUUGCGUUUGAAACUACAAGGCUAGAGUGCAGCAGAGGGGAGUGGAAUUCCAUGUGUAGCAGUGAAAUGCGUAGAGAUGUGGAAGAACACCGAUGGCGAAGGCAGCUCCCUGGGUUGACACUGACGCUCAUGCACGAAAGCGUGGGGAGCAAACA